GAUGAACGCUAGCGGCAGGCUUAACACAUGCAAGUCGAGGGGUAUAGGUUUUCGGACCUAGAGACCGGCGCACGGGUGCGUAACGCGUAUGCAAUCUACCUUUCACAGAGGGAUAGCCCAGAGAAAUUUGGAUUAAUACCUCAUAGUAUAGCAGUUUCGCAUGAAACCACUAUUAAAGUAUCAACGGUGAAAGAUGAGCAAGCGUCCCAUUAGCUAGAUGGUAAGGUAACGGCUUACCAUGGCUACGAUGGGUAGGGGUCCUGAGAGGGAGAUCCCCCACACUGGUACUGAGACACGGACCAGACUCCUACGGGAGGCAGCAGUGAGGAAUAUUGGUCAAUGGACGCAAGUCUGAACCAGCCAUGCCGCGUGCAGGAUGACGGUCCUAUGGAUUGUAAACUGCUUUUGUACGAGAAGAAACAACAUUACGUGUAAUGUCUUGACGGUAUCGUAAGAAUAAGGAUCGGCUAACUCCGUGCCAGCAGCCGCAGUAAUAC
rnacentral:rRNA from 1 species